AGUUUCCUCACACACACCCGCCAAUCCUGAAGGUGAGCCUCUGCAGAUCUCUGGAUUCUCUCCUCUCUGGGACUCUGCCCUGCCAAGGGUAGUUGCACUGGUCUCCCCGAAAUCUCUAUCUUCCCAACUCAGAGAGUCUGCUGGGCUCUGCCUGAGUGGAGGAGAUGCCUCCUUCUUGUUCUGUGGCCUGAAAACUCAAGGCAGUGCAUUGGGCUACCAUAGGGCUCAAUGGUUUCCUUCCCAUCCCACAGGGAUCACUGUCCUUCACUGCCUCCUUCCAGUGUUCGGAAGACCGUUGUUUUUCAUAUUUGGUCUGCUUUUUGUGUGUUUUUGUUUCCUAUGGAGGGUAAAUUUGGUCUGUGACAAAGUCUUUGUGCUGUGGUUCUCUCCAUCUGCGCUAGGUUGGCCUUCCUCAUCUCAAUGCCCCCAUGCCUGACAUGGCACCUGACAUUCAGUCCAUCUACACUAGGUCAGCCUUCCUUAUCUCAACGCCUCCAUGCCAGACAUGGCACCUGACACUCAGUCCAUCUGCACUAGGUCGGCCUUCCUCAUCUCAACGCCCCCAUGCCUGACAUGGCACCUGACACUCAGUCCAUCUGCACUAGGGUCGGCCUUCCUCAUCUCAACACCCC
rnacentral:lncRNA from 10 species